AUGAGGAGAGAGACAGUAGUUAAUUCUAAAGCUAAGAGUCAUGGAACCAUUAGACAUACUGUUUCAGAACAGAGUUACAGCCAGGGCAGCACAAGAAGCUAAGAACGCUCAGAACACCACAGUACCAGUGUAACCCACGAAAACAGCUACUGUCAACAAACAUAGAAACGUACUGCUUCUAUGAAACAGUACAGAUGGAAAUGUUGGUUUCAGAGGGUCCUUUUCCUACACCUGAGGAUGUCUCCAUGAAGAAGGGAACAUCUGCCAAGCUUUCUCUGUUGCCUUGCUCUGCAAAAUUGAGGACAUUGAUAACGAAGACUGGAAGAACCCUCAGCUCCGCAGUGACUGUGUUAAGGAUACCUAUCAGUACCUCAGGCAGCUGGAGGUUUUGCAGUUCAUAAAUCCACAUUUCUUAGAUGGAUGACAUAUAAAUGGAUGUAUGUUUGCACCAUCCUAGUAGACUGGCUGGUGCAAAUCCACUCCAAGUUUUUAGGCUUCUUCAGGAGACUCUGUGUGUGUGAUUUUUACUGGUUCAGGCAGUUUCCUGGAGGAAGCUUCAACUAAUUGGGAUUACUGCUAUGCUCUUGGCUUCCAAGCAUGAGGAGAUGUUUUCUCCAAAUAUUGAAGGCUUUGUUUACAUCACAGACAAUGCUUACACUAGUUCCCAAAUCCAAAAAAUGGAAACUAAUUUUGAAAAAACUGAAAUUUGAGUUGGGUUGACCCUUGCCAUGACACUUCUUAAGGCAAGCAUUGAAAGCCGGAAAGGUUGAUGUUGAACAGCACACUUUAGCCAAAUAUUUGAUGGAGCUGACUUUCAUUGACUACAAUAUGAUGCAUUAUCAUCCUUCUAAGGCAGCAGCAGCUGCUUCCUGCUUGUCUCAGAAGGUUCUGGGCCAAAGAAAAUGGAAGUAAAAGCAGCAGUGUUAUAAAAGAUACACAGAGAAUGAAGUAUUCGACGUUGUACAGAACAUGGUCAAAAAUGUGCUGAAAGUAAAUGAAAACUUCACAAUUCACCACCAUCAAGAAUAAGUAUGCAAGCAGCAAAUUCCUGAAGAUCAGCAUGAUCCCUCACCUGAAUGCAAAAGCCAUCAAAAACCUUGCCUCCCCUCUGAUGAGAGGGUCCUAGGUGGCAGUGGCCCCUGGGGAUGUGUGCUUCAUUUGUGCCCCCCCUCUUUUUUUUUUUUUUACUGGUUUAGAACUCUUUAUUUUAUAAAUAGUUCUCUGGUCUUUUCAUGAAACCUCUUCUGAGACCAAUUUUCUAAAUGUAUAUUGAGGAAAAAUAAAGCUACUGGUUUUUCUUAAGGUAAAA